UCCGGUUUGUCACCGGCAGUCUCAUUAGAGUGCCCAACUGAAUGUAGCAACUAAUGACAAGGGUUGCGCUCGUUGCGGGACUUAACCCAACAUCUCACGACACGAGCUGACGACAGCCAUGCAGCACCUGUGUACUGGUUCUCUUUCGAGCACUCCCGCCUCUCAGCAGGAUUCCAGCCAUGUCAAGGGUAGGUAAGGUUUUUCGCGUUGCAUCGAAUUAAUCCACAUCAUCCACCGCUUGUGCGGGUCCCCGUCAAUUCCUUUGAGUUUUAAUCUUGCGACCGUACUCCCCAGGCGGUCUACUUCACGCGUUAGCUGCGUUACCAAGUCAAUUAAGACCCGACAACUAGUAGACAUCGUUUAGGGCGUGGACUAC
rnacentral:misc_RNA from 1 species